rnacentral:lncRNA from 1 species
UUGAUAUUAAGAGGCCUUUCAGUCAGGUGCAGUGGUUCACAGCCAUAAUCACACUGCUUUGGGAGGCCAAGGCGGAAGGAUCACUGGAGUCCAGGAAUUUGAGACCAGUCUAGGCAACAUAGUGAGACCCUGCCUCUAUAAAUAACUUAAAAAUUAGCCAGGCAUUGUGGGGUGUGCCUUUAGUCUCAGCUACUUCUGAGGCUGAGGCGGAAAGAUCAUUUAACCCCAGAAUGUUGAAGUUGCAGUGAGCCAUGAUCACAACACUGCACUCUAGUCUAGGCAACAAAGCAAGGCCUUGUGUAUGAGAAAGAAAAGAGAAGAGAAGAAGAAAGGAGAAGAGGGGAGGUGAGAGGAGUGGGAGGGCAGGGAAGGAAAGGGGAAGGAGAGGGAGGGGAAGGGAGGGGAGGGGCAGGGAGGGGAAGGAAAAGGAGAAAGAAAGGAAGGAGGGAGGGAGGGAAAGAAAGAAGGAAGGAAGGAGGGCGGGAGGGAAAGAAAGAAGGAAGAGGAAAAGAGAAUGAUGCCAAGCUGCCACAGAUCACACUAAAAUAAAACUGCUUUUUAAAUUUACUUUAAGAUUAUUUUGUUUGAUAAAACUAAAAGUUAAACUGAAAGUUUUAAUGAAAAUAAUAACUAAAAGACAUUUGGGGCAUAUUUCUCAAAGAUGGGGGGACUCAUGGAAAAAAUAUGUGCAUCUUUUGGCCAAGUUUGAAUGUCCUCAUGCCCUCAGGUAAA